GCUAACUCCUUCUCUGACCCUAAAUUCACCAGAACGGUUAUUUAAUUUCACUCCCAACCUAAAGGUCCUGCUCUUUAUCCAGCUUGAAUUGUCAGUGAAGCUGAGAUCACCCAGAUAUCCCACACCAUCCCUUAGCUGAAUGAUUAAAUCUCCAGUCAAUAAUGGACGUUUUCCUUCUCUUGCACGAAUAACCAUUUUGCUGA
rnacentral:misc_RNA from 1 species